UGCGUAGGCAGCGAGCGUUGUUCGGAUUUACUGGGCGUAAAGCGUGCGUAGGCGGUGUCUUAAGUUUGUUGUGAAAUCUCCCGGCUUAACCGGGAGGGUGCGGCGAAUACUGAGAUGCUGGAGUGCGGGAGAGGUAAGCGGAAUUCCUGGUGUAGCGGUGAAAUGCGUAGAUAUCAGGAGGAACACCUGCGGUGUAGACGGCUUACUGGACCGUAACUGACGCUGAGGCACGAAAGCGUGGGUAGCAAACAGG
rnacentral:rRNA from 1 species